UACAGAGGGGGCAAGCGUUAUUCGGAAUUAUUGGGCGUAAAGGGCGCGUAGGCGGCCUGACAAGUGGAAGGUGAAAUCCCUCGGCUUAACCGAGGAACUGCCCUCCAAACUGUUUGGCUUGAGUCCGGGAGAGGUGAGUGGAAUUCCCAGUGUAGCGGUGAAAUGCGUAGAUAUCGGGAGGAACACCAAUGGCGAAGGCAGCUUGCUGGGACGGUACUGACGCUGAGGCGCGAAAGCGUGGGGAGCAAACAGG
rnacentral:rRNA from 1 species